GGCUAUACUAAGCUUGGCCAGUACUAAACAGCGAAUGAGUAGGUGGGCUCAUUUUUUAUUUCCGGUCUAUACAAACCGGAAAUAAUACUACUUCCGGCGUGUAUGUCGUAAUGGCGAAACGGACACCAAUGAUAAUGCCUCGGUAAAAUGCUAACUGAACAAUUGACAUUCUAUCGAGUUUUCAUGUUUUUGGGACUUGAGAUUGCUGUGGAUUCCGUUCACCUGGACCCUUGCUGUGAUAGAGAUACCGACUUCACCCUGGUUUGACUCCACUGCAGAUUCCCAAAGCGCACAGAAGGACCUGAAGCCCAGGAGCAGCCCACGGUGAUGCCCCUCAAAAGCAUCUGCUGACCCCCCACCCCCCGCCCCCCCCGGAAUGUUUCGGUUCAUCAACAGAGCGUUCGUGAUUCUCCCUUCCCGUCAGAAGUGAGCGGUGGAGUUAAAUCACUGGAACCAAGCCCAGCGAGCCCGGAAAAUCGCACAGCGAGGGUGGUGGGGGUGGGGGCAGUAGGGUUGGCGAAGUCUGACCCAAACCCAUUAGUGCCGCUCGCUCAAUCUGCCGGGCGAGAUGCGCACACGGCCCAUCUACUCGUCCAGCCGGCUGCAUCGGAGCGGUGGAGACCGACUUUCCGGCCAUUAGACGCGCGUCCACGCGCUGCGCGCCGCGACAGACGCGAGGAAAACCCGCCAAUUCCCCCCCCCCCCCCCCGCCCCGCCCCCUUUGCGGGACGAUUUGCAGACAGAAGCCUCACCGUGGGCUCUAACCUUUCCCGGCUCAUUAAGGAGAUUAACCUGCGCUUUCAACUCCGUGCGAUUGGAACAAGACAUAAUUGACGCCUGCUCGUUUUGGUUUGUGGAAAGAAAGAAGGAAAAGAAGAGGGGGGGAGAAAAAAGGAUUCGGCGCCAAAAUGACAAGUUGCAAGCCUGUUAGCUGAAAGAUAGCUCCCCACAUCAUUGUAGCCCGGAGCACUGGGAGUGCAGAGAAAAAGAAUGUGCUGUUUCCAUGAGCACUGCAACCUGCUGCCAUACGAGACUGCAAGGGAGAAAAUGCAUUGGAAACCAUAGGUAAGAGGGAUGCUGGGUAACUCUGCUGGGUGGCUCAUUCGGUCAUGCCCCUGUGCUGCGGUGUAUGGAUGAGCCCGACACAGUGAAAUGUCCAGUGUUUAUUCAACACUUAACAGUGUUAAUUCAAAACUGUACCAGAUAAUGACUCUGGCCAGCGUGGGACCAAAUGUUAUCUGUUAAAAUUGAAUUAACACUGGUCGUUUUACUGUGCACAGUCUCGGUUCGAAUCCAGCUGGAAUUGUUCAAAUGCUGGAUUGUGCCUCCAUAGGGCGACGGGCAGCUGCCGAUCGCAUUGGCCGGGGUAUUUGGAGGGUUCCAUUAGGUAGGGGUAAGCGUAGAUAAAUAUUUCUUCCCAAAUACUGUAUAUUAGGUUGAGUAAGAUUAUAUUUGUAUUUAGCUGUGAUGUUUACUGUCAAGAGAAAGGUUUGCUGAAUAACACUGAAUAAUGCUUGAUUUACCAGAGUUUUAUUGCUAAUUUCUUUUGUUAGAUUUUAUUAUAAAGAAUCUUUAGGGGUGCCAAUAAUAUUGACACCUGUGAUUUUGAGACCUGUGCAAUGUUGACCCCAGUAUGUUUGAGUGUGUCUUAACAGAGAGCAGUUACCACGGGUCCAUAAUAGAUCAGGUGGGCUGCGGGCUGGGGUUUCUUAUGAAAGGAGUGCAUGAUGGGAGGUCUUACUCUUAUUAAUCUGUGGAGUGUGACAAGCUCAGAUCUCAAUCCGCCGCGUAAUAAUUGACCUUUAGCUGUCUUUAAUUCCGUGAUGAAAACAGCAACGGGGGGUCCACAGUGUGAGUCCACCUGAGCGGGGACAAAGAGGCCUGGGCCUGGCAGGCUCGCCUGCAACCAGUCCAAUUAAACACCUCGCUGUGGCAAUCUCAUCAUUUGAAAUAAAAACCCUGCCUUUGAA